GUGAAUCAUCGAAUCUUUGAACGCAAAUUGCACUUCCUGGUAUUCCGGAAAGUAUGCCUGUUUGAGGGUCAGUUAAAUAUAAAUCGGGGUUGUUUCUGCCUUUCGUUGUGACUCGUCUUAAUUGGGUCGUCUUACCUUCGGUUAAGUGCCUUAAAAUUUUUGCAUGAUUUUCGCACGUAUUUCACUCUC
rnacentral:misc_RNA from 1 species